GCUGACACCUAAUACUGGGCCCACGACUCAUCUCCUCUUCCUCUCUCUAGGCACCCUCCCUUGGAGCCAAAAGAGGCACUACAAGGAAAGCAAUUUUUAACGGUGAAUUAAUUUGCGAUGAAAAAUAUUUUCGUCGUAAAUAACCAUAUCUACGAUGAAAAUAAUUUUUCAUCAAAAAUAAAAAAAUAUUUAUGAUGAUAAAAGAAAUCCAUCGCA
rnacentral:lncRNA from 1 species